rnacentral:rRNA from 1 species
CACUCCUACGGGAGGCAGCAGUGGGGAAUAUUGGACAAUGGGCGCAAGCCUGAUCCAGCCAUGCCGCGUGAGUGAUGAAGGCCCUAGGGUUGUAAAGCUCUUUCACCGGUGAAGAUAAUGACGGUAACCGGAGAAGAAGCCCCGGCUAACUUCGUGCCAGCAGCCGCGGUAAUACGAAGGGGGCUAGCGUUGUUCGGAUUUACUGGGCGUAAAGCGCACGUAGGCGGACUAUUAAGUCAGGGGUGAAAUCCCGGGGCUCAACCCCGGAACUGCCUUUGAUACUGGUAGUCUUGAGUUCGAGAGAGGUGAGUGGAAUUCCGAGUGUAGAGGUGAAAUUCGUAGAUAUUCGGAGGAACACCAGUGGCGAAGGCGGCUCACUGGCUCGAUACUGACGCUGAGGUGCGAAAGCGUGGGGAGCAAACAGGAUUAGAAACCCGGGUAGUCCCAU